CUUCUCUCUUUUUUCAGUGUUGAUUGUAAUCUGAUUUUGUAAGUGAUCAAUCUAGCAGUCAUUCUAGAUCUAUGAUUUAUCAUGUUCAUAACAUAUAGUGAUUAGUCAAUAAUCACUGACGAAAAAUAAUGAUUCUUCUUUUUCUCUCUUUUGCUUGUUUCAACAGGAGCUAACUACACCCCAAAGGCUAUUUUAGGAGCCACAGCACUGAGCAUCUUUGGCUUUCAGGAGCCAAUUACACCCCAGAGACUCUUUUAAGGGCCACCUAGAAUCACGGCACCUUUGGCUUUAUCAGCUGUCAGUGGUUAUGGAGGCCAUGCAGCCAAGACCAACUAGGAUGCUUGUUGCCAUAUUUCUUUUUGUUGCAAUAUUGUCAUGAUCUCUGCUUUGAUUUGCUGUUAUGAAUUCAGUUCUCUAUUUUUUUUUUGUAAUGUUCCAGAAUAAAGCACAAUAAAUAAGUAAGUAAUGGAUGUAUUUAAUAGUGACAGUGA